rnacentral:rRNA from 1 species
AUUGAACGCUGGCGGCAGGCCUAACACAUGCAAGUCGAACGGUAACAGGAAGAAGCUUGCUUCUUUGCUGACGAGUGGCGGACGGGUGAGUAAUGUCUGGGAAACUGCCUGAUGGAGGGGGAUAACUACUGGAAACGGUAGCUAAUACCGCAUAAUGUCGCAAGACCAAAGAGGGGGACCUUCGGGCCUCUUGCCAUCGGAUGUGCCCAGAUGGGAUUAGCUAGUAGGUGGGGUAACGGCUCACCUAGGCGACGAUCCCUAGCUGGUCUGAGAGGAUGACCAGCCACACUGGAACUGAGACACGGUCCAGACUCCUACGGGAGGCAGCAGUGGGGAAUAUUGCACAAUGGGCGCAAGCCUGAUGCAGCUAUGCCGCGUGCAUGAAGAAGGCCUUCGGGUUGUAAAGUACUUUCAGCGGGGAGGAAGGGAGUAAAGUUAAUACCUUUGCUCAUUGACGUUACCCGCAGAAGAAGCACCGGCUAACUCCGUG